rnacentral:tRNA from 1 species
GCGGAUAUGUCGUAAUUGGUAGCCGAGCCGGACUUAGGAUCCGGUGCCGCAAGGCGUAAGAGUUCGACUCUCUUUAUCCGCAC